AGUGAACGCUGGCGGUAGGCCUAACACAUGCAAGUCGAACGGCAGCACAGUAAGAGCUUGCUCUUACGGGUGGCGAGUGGCGGACGGGUGAGGAAUACAUCGGAACCUACUUUUUCGUGGGGGAUAACGUAGGGAAACCUACGCUAAUACCGCAUACGACCCACGGGUGAAAGCAGGGGAUCUUCGGACCUUGCGCGAUUGAAUGAGCCGAUGUCGGAUUAGCUAGUUGGCGGGGUAAAGGCCCACCAAGGCGACGAUCCGUAGCUGGUCUGAGAGGAUGAUCGGCCACACUGGAACUGAGACGCGGUCCAGGCUCCUACGAGAGGCAGCAGUGGGGAAUAUUGGACAAUGGGCGCAAGCCUGAUCCAGCCAUACCGCGUGGGUGAAGAAGGCCUUCGGGUUGUAAAGCCCUUUUGUUGGGAAAGAAAAGCAGCAGGUUAAUACCCCGCUGUUCUGACGGUACCCAAAGAAUAAGCACCGGCUAACUUCGUG
rnacentral:rRNA from 1 species